GCCAGCAGCCGCGGUAAUACAGAGGGUGCGAGCGUUAAUCGGAUUUACUGGGCGUAAAGCGCGCGUAGGUGGUUAAUUAAGUCAAAUGUGAAAUCCCCGAGCUUAACUUGGGAAUUGCAUUCGAUACUGGUUAGCUAGAGUAUGGGAGAGGAUGGUAGAAUUCCAGGUGUAGCGGUGAAAUGCGUAGAGAUCUGGAGGAAUACCGAUGGCGAAGGCAGCCAUCUGGCCUAAUACUGACACUGAGGUGCGAAAGCAUGGGGAGCAAACAGGAUUAGAUACCCUGGUAGUCCAUGCCGUAAACGAUGUCUACUAGCCGUUGGGGGAUUUGAUCCUUUAGUGGCGCAGCUAACGCGAUAAGUAGACCGCCUGGGGAGUACGGUCGCAAGACUAAAACUCAAAUGAAUUGACGGGGGCCCGCACAAGCGGUGGAGCAUGUGGUUUAAUUCGAUGCAACGCGAAGAACCUUACCUGGCCUUGACAUAGUAGAGACUUUCCAGAGAUGGAUUGGUGCCUUCGGGAAUCUACAUACAGGUGCUGCAUGGCUGUCGUCAGCUCGUGUCGUGAGAUGUUGGGUUAAGUCCCGCAACGAGCGCAACCCUUUUCCUUACUUGCCAGCAUUUCGGAUGGGAACUUUAAGGAUACUGCCAGUGACAAACUGGAGGAAGGCGGGGACGACGUCA
rnacentral:rRNA from 1 species